GAGCGGGUAGCUCAGUGGUAGAGCGCCCAGCCAGUAGGUGGUUGUACGAUGUUGAUGCGGUGAUGAUGUACGAAGCUGGUGGCUAGGAGGGCGCAAGUUCGACUCUUGUCUCGCUCA
rfam:Paraphaeosphaeria sporulosa strain AP3s5-JAC2a unplaced genomic scaffold CC84scaffold_9, whole genome shotgun sequence.